CGCUGGCAGUAGUGGCAGGACAAGUCACAGGGAACGGACAAAUCCACAGUCGGAUUUGCCCGCUUUGAAUAGGGGUUGUCGGGUCCAUUACGACAACUGCAUCUCGGAAUGGACCCGACUCUUAUUGAAUAUACCCCCAUGUCUAUUUUAACCUCAUUCCAAUAAACAAUGACUGAUGAUACCCUCCUUCCUACACAAGCAUCUCUAAUACCCCUUUCACACCAAAAAACCCGGGUUUGACCUGGGUUAUUGAACACGGCAGUUUGGACGCCUUUGCCGGCUCUCAGAGAUGUCAUCAUCUGAUGAUGAUGCAUUGCGCUGUAUACUUUUAGCGUGACCCAAGUAGGAUGACAGGUCAGAAUCCCGAGUAACACCCAGGUAGACCCUUCCACACCAAACCUGGACCCAGAAGGCCCCGGCAAUAACACAAGUUUGAAGUUUGUUGUGAAAAGGGGAGAAGUUAGCAUAGGUCAGCACAGACUGCAGUCAUUUAGGCUACUGUGACAUCAGAGAACAAAUGUUUACAGAGCAAGUCUGUCACGCACUCUGCCUACUCAGAGACUGCAUUCCUCCUAACAUCAUGACCUGCUGCAUAGGGGUGAGAGGGAGCGUGACAGACAUCUUGAGCCUGACAUUUGCUUCCAACAUGAUCACAGCAUGAUGGUACACAAGCUCGUACGUUGGUCCAGGGGCAGUCAGGUUCUCCAGGUUCCCAGUGCGUGUGUAGGUGAAAGUUGUCCCUGCAGCUUCGUACUCCCCAUUCCAUUGAAUAGUCCAUCUGCCAUUUAGGAAAUAUUUCUCUGGAUCUUCACUACGCAAGGCUAAGAAGUUUCCAGCCUCUGCAACCUCCUCAAUCCGGAUCUCACGGGCACCAGGCGGAAUCAGACCAAUGUCAACAUACCCUGGAAACAGAAGUAACCAAUGGAGGGACUGACAGAGCGGAUCUGCAGACGAUGAACAUCUAGCCAAGGAAGAUUAGCCUCGCAGCUGCAUUCAUAAAGGAUUGUAGUGGGGAGAGUCUCUUUUUGACAGCUUCAGGGCUUCAAGUCAAUAAUACUGCAUCUACUCCAUUGUGACACUCCACGUCCUACAUCUGCAAAGGUUCAAUUGAUGUCUCAAACAAUGUUCUGCUGUCUCUGAAAGAUUCAAUAAAUGUACUUGGUAGAGAGGAA